rnacentral:sRNA from 1 species
CUUUGUGCUAACUUAAAGCUUCUUAAGGCCUCUUCUCCUUCCAGUUACAGAGGACUCAGGGCUUGGUUGCUGUUUAUUGCCCUUCACUGCAUGGAAUAAGCUCUUUGCCUUCUAGAUACUUAGAGGAAGAAGCAGCUGUUUACUAUGAAUAUAAAUUCAUAGAAAUGUGGAGAGACUAUAUUUGAAGACAGUCUUCUAGUUUUCAGGAGGCAAAACCUUCAACUGAGGACUUGGGGGAUAAGAAGGAAGGUGAAUAUAUUAAACUCAAAGUCAUUGGACAGGAUAGCAGUGAGAUUCACUUCAAAGUGAAAAUGACAACACAUCUCAAGAAACUCAAAGAAUCAUACUGUCAAAGACAGGGCGUUCCAAUGAAUUCACUCAGGUUUCUCUUUGAGGGUCAGAGAAUUGCUGAUAAUCAUACUCCAAAAGAACUGGGAAUGGAGGAAGAAGAUGUGAUUGAAGUUUAUCAGGAACAAACGGGGGGUCAUUCAACAGUUUAGAUAUUCU